GUUUUUUCCUUUCCAUAUUUUAUUAGGAGAAAAAAAAAAACAGAGAAAACUUGCCAGACUUCUAUAGCCAGGUCCAUGGGCCCAUCAUCUAGAACCUUGCCUCAGUUUUACAUCUCUUAGACAUGCCUCCCCACUGCCCACGCCCUGGCUGCCCACCAGCCCUCAUGUCUGGAUGGAUUUCAAAGCAAUGAACAGUCAUUCAUCUCUGUCCAGGCCUACUCUUUAGCACCGGAUCACUGACCCACGGUGGUCAGCAAUUUUCACAGCUAUUUUGAGGUGAGUUUUAUUCAUAAUGAAAUACACCAUUCUGCCGUGCAGGACCAUAUAUACCCAAUUCUGUUGCACACCUACCCUGGGCUAACUCAAGCACCCACACAGACUAUAAAUGGGGAGUUUCCUGGGAACCCCUUCUGAUAAACCCCUAUCCCAGCCUUAUAUCACAACAGUUCUGAGAUUUUUCCUCUCUCUGCUCUAGUUACAGCUGCUCUGUAACUUCAUUGACACAAGUAAAAUCUUACAAUGUGUGUUUUUGCAAGGGUUUUCCCUUAACAUGUGGGGUCUGUCUCUAAGAAAAAAUUUGCUGUGUGCAAGUCUUUUUUUUUUUUUUCUUAACUUUUUAAUGAUCUAAAAGGCUUUUUUGUUUUGUUUUGAUUUUGUAGUUAUUAAGGAUGGAACCCACGGCCUUAUACAAGUGCUUCACCAGUGGGCUAUCUCUCUAACCCAGACACUAUUCGUAACCACCUAGCACUAUAUCCCCCAAUAUACUCUCUAUUAACUAAGGAAAGGAUGUGGCCAGUGCCUGUGUGCCCACAGGCUUGUCGUCCUGGACCCACUCAAGCUGGCUGAUAGGCCCUGUGAGUUCCCCCGACACCUCCUCAGGAGAGGAAGUAUGGACAGUCCCCACAGGUCCCAAGGCAUAGUUCACCACUCUCGGGGGACACAAAGUUCUUUAAGAGAUGUCACAGAUUUUAAUCACCCCCCCCAGACUCAAACCCUGGGAGUACCAAAGGCUUCACGCUCUGAUGCUGUGGAGGUGACCUAGGAGGUGACAAUCACAGCGUGCCCACUUUGGAAUAGUAAGUGACUAAGUAAAAAUGCAGAAGUAAAUGUAUCGGAAAACCCAAAGGAAUCAACUAGAAAACCUCCCUACUCUAAAUAACAAGGGCUGGGGAAGGGCAGAGGGGAGGGCGGGCCAAUUCAAGGAGCUACGCCAUCAUCAUCAUUGAAUAUUACUCAAGAAGGCCUACGCAAGAAGUAUCCUCUCCACACACACCCAGGUUUCUCUGUGCUAAGCCACCUCUCCUGGCCUCCCCCUCCUCCCUCUUUCCCUUCUGUCCAUUCUUCUCCCCUCUCCCAUUCCCAAUGCCUUCCCUGUCUCUACUACCCGCUUCUGCCCCCUCUGCCCUCCCACCCUCCUCUCCCCUUUCCAGUCUCUAGGGGACACUUUUGGGGGAGGGGCUUGGGUUCUUUGGACUACACACAUCCUGCCUAGGGUGCGGGCCAUAGCUUCUCCUAGACCUUUUAGCUGCUGGCAGAAAGUGAGAAAUGGCUUGAGAGGCCCCAAAUGUGGCUCUUAGCACAUCCCUCAUGGAAAGGGCAGGUUACUCCCGUCAGAACUUGGACCGUGGGCGGGUGGGAGAGAGUCUGGCCAUCAGGCUGGGUGCUGUUGAGAGCCACCCUACAAUAACCUAAGAUUUCAGGCUGGGCUCUGCCCUGCAAGACUUCAUUUUAUAAAACAGUUGUUUGUUCCAUUCUGAGUGCCUGUGUCAAGGCAGAAUGACUCUAUAUUUUGUUUAUGCUAAGUAAACAGCCGCUAUCAGUCCUCCAUAGGUCACAAGGCCCAGACUGAUAAUAAUGUAUUUACUUAAAUAAAUAUUCCCACCUGACACCUUAUCAAGUUAACUCAGGAGCACAUGAGUACAUGGAUACAUCACAGCCAUGCCAGGGAGCUAGGCUGAAGCCAUCAGGUACACAGGACACACCAACCAACACGGUGCAACUCCUCCUUUGGAUCAUGGGAAAGGAGUGGUAUCUCACUAUGGUGCAACCAUACCCGCCUGCGGGUCAUCGGACCCUCUGGUGCACGUGUCAUGGGAUCCAUAUGAUUCCAGUGAUUGACAGAUAGCAGAGUCCACUUCCAUCUCUGGAGCUGCAGCCCUACACGAUAGAUAGUAUUGCUUGAUAAGUUCCAUUUAAGUCACCUGGCAACUGCAGUUAGUCUGGACUUGGUUGCCCCAAGCAACCUAGUCCUUUGUGGUCUGUCCUUGCAUAGCUCUGUGGCUGGGCUGUGUUCCACCACUGCAGUGACCCCUCUGCUCCUGCUCAGCUCUCCGUCCUGCCUUCAGUAAGACUGCUUUAGACCGGUUGUACUUUAACCAUUUCUGAACCACCCUCUAACCCACAUAUGAACCCAGCGUGAACUGUAACAUAUAAUCUGAGAGCUGAGAUUAGUCAUUAAGAUCGAAAUAAAAGAACCUGUGGUUUCAGGAGCUGUAAAUACCACGCAAGGUUAGGAGUACUGGUAAAUUAAAGUCAAGGAAAUGGACAUAAUGUGAAUUUAUUGCCUUUCAGCAGAUUCUGACACUCUGGAAGGGCACAAAUGUCUCUGCUUCUGACAGUUCUCUCAUGACAGGGUACCCUGCUCCCGGAGAGACCACUGAGCUGUGGAAAGCUUGCUUUGAAAACUGCUCAGAGUGAAGGAAUCUGGGCUUUACCUGGUUACCCGUCAGCCUCAGGGGCCGCCACAAAUGGGCUCAGAGCUGCCCGCCCUGAGCCCGUCCCUUUCCAAACCUGGGAUCCCAUAUCCUGCCUGUCGCCCUCAUCCCGUUUCUUUAUCCAGAUUAAUCCUCGUCGGAACAAUUCGUUUUCUUCACCAUCGUUCCACUUGAGAACCAUCUAGAAGAUUUAAAAAUAAAUAAGCGUGCAGA